GAUGAACGCUGGCGGCGUGCCUAAUACAUGCAAGUCGAGCGAACAGACGAGGAGCUUGCUCCUCUGACGUUAGCGGCGGACGGGUGAGUAACACGUGGAUAACCUACCUAUAAGACUGGGAUAACUUCGGGAAACCGGAGCUAAUACCGGAUAAUAUAUUGAACCGCAUGGUUCAAUAGUGAAAGACGGUUUUGCUGUCACUUAUAGAUGGAUCCGCGCCGCAUUAGCUAGUUGGUAAGGUAACGGCUUACCAAGGCGACGAUGCGUAGCCGCCCUGAGAGGGUGAUCGGCCACACUGGAACGGAGACACGGUCCAGACUCCUACGGGAGGCAGCAGUAGGGAAUCUUCCGCAAUGGGCGAAAGCCUGACGGAGCAACGCCGCGUGAGUGAUGAAGGUCUUCGGAUCGUAAAACUCUGUUAUUAGGGAAGAACAAAUGUGUAAGUAACUAUGCACGUCUUGACGGUACCUAAUCAGAAAGCCACGGCUAACUACGUG
rnacentral:rRNA from 1 species